GAUGAACGCUGGCGGCGUGCCUAACACAUGCAAGUCGAGCGAUUCUCUUCGGAGAAGAGCGGCGGACGGGUGAGUAACGCGUGGGUAACCUGCCCUGUACACACGGAUAACAUACCGAAAGGUAUGCUAAUACGGGAUAACAUAAGAAAUUCGCAUGUUUUUCUUAUCAAAGCUCCGGCGGUAUGAGAUGGACCCGCGUCUGAUUAGCUAGUUGGUAAGGUAACGGCUUACCAAGGCGACGAUCAGUAGCCGACCUGAGAGGGUGAUCGGCCACAUUGGAACUGAGAGACGGUCCAAACUCCUACGGGAGGCAGCAGUGGGGAAUAUUGCACAAUGGGGGAAACCCUGAUGCGGCAACGCCGCGUGAGUGAUGAAGGCCUUCGGGUUGUAAAGCUCUGUCUUUGGGGACGAUAAUGACGGUACCCAAGGAGGAAGCCACGGCUAACUACGUGCCAGCAGCCGCGGUAACAC
rnacentral:rRNA from 1 species